rfam:Glossina austeni, whole genome shotgun sequence.
GGGGUAGUUUUUAGUACGUAAGCGCCCUGGAUGGCGAAUCGUGCAUGUUGCUGCUAACAAGCAGAAGUAUAUUUUGAAGACUUUCUAUCUCC